GGACAGCCAUCGCCGAGUCCCCGUACGGCGCGAGCCAGGGGAGCCGGGGACCCACCCUCCUGUGCCGCCUUCGUGGCCGGAGGGGCCCGCUGCCGCCGUCCUUGUGGCCGGAGCGGGCCCGAUCCCUGGGGUGAAUCGGGCGUGCAGCCCGUAGGAGACCUUCCUGCUCCGAACCCGUCAGCUAACCCGGUAGGCGAGAGGGAAGGAAAGG
rnacentral:sRNA from 2 species